CAGUUUAAUAUUUGUUAGAGCUUAUGAGACGCCGUUCAAGUCGGACCAUUGAGGCGAAAGGUUCUUGUGAUUUGAAUCGAAUAUAAACUAGUCGAGGCGAAAGUAUAUGUGCUGUAUGCACAAAUGCAUAUAAACUAGUAGAAUCUAUAUAUACAUGAUUUGAUAUGUUAGUGAGGAUUCGAGUCACAAAUGCACAAAUGCAAAACAAUGGCAUUUAAGCUAGUUGGUUAGUGAGGAUUCGAGUCAUUAAGGCGCCAUCUGUCUUUAUUUGAAAUCUGAAUUCAUUGAAUGAUGAAUGAGGUUGUAGUGUGAGAGAAAUUGAGAAAGUAAAGAAAAGAUGGAAGAUGAAGCUACAAUUAUGUGACAAACAAUAAUGAUGGAUCAAUUCAUCUAUGUUGGUUUAUUAAACUUGGUAAUGGAAUUGCAAAUCAAGUAUAUCUUAGGUUCUUAGUUGCAUACCCACCUUCCCACAACUAUUAUAUUGUCUCUUGAUUGGAUGAAUUUUUAUAAUUUUCUAGAUCUAUGGUUACAAUGCUUUUUAUAAUUUCCUAGAUUUAUCAUUUUAGUUCCUUCAUGAUUUGUUGAUUUUUUUUAAGGUUAAAUGUGUUUUAUUCGAGUAGUUAAGGUUGAUGCAUUCAAAUUCCGUAGCAACGGGCGGACAUUUUUGUCUAGUUUAAAACAAAUAAUAAAUCCUAAGUGUAUAGAUUUCAUCCAACUUUAUGCAUGCACUACAAGUCAACAAAUAGUGUAUUGUCUAAACUAAUAAUUCCAAGGAUCAAGACUUUAAAUUACUAAGUCAUGAAGUCAAUACAAGUGGGAAUACAUUACCACUUGAAUUGUGGAAACUUAUAAGCCCUGUAUAAUUGAGGGUUUUUAUAACAAAUAGUCAUUGAAAUUGACCUAUUCCAUCAAGAUAGUUAUUGAAAUUGAAAUUCAAUUGAUGUAGUCUCUGAAAAUAGUUAUCGCAAAUUAAUAUGGUAUUUUCAUCACUAUUCCUUUAAACAUUUUGUUAUUUGUUGAUGUAGCACAUAACGAGGUCUUACAAAUCCAAUUAAAUAUUGCCAUAUAGAUUAAAAUAUUUAAAUAAAAAAAUUAUUUUCAUAUAAUUAAAAACUU